AUAUCCUCUCUCUUAUCAUUUCCCUAUCUUUGUUUUGUUUCCACUUUCCAUAUCCCAAUCAAAUAUUUUCAGUGUUUUUCUUCUCAAUCGCUGCCGCAUGUGCUUUUACCUUUACUCCGGCAUGUCCAAAUUACUUAAAUUUGCCGUGUUUUUUCAGUCACAAACUUAACGCACCAUUAUUUUUCACUACCCUCACGAAGUGUUCAAGUAUGAUUCUAUGUAAAUCCAGUGAUAACAAAAAUGCCCAACGUGUACCAAUGUUAUGAUAACAGGAGUGCCUUGUUUGCACGUUCAGUAAUAGCGGAAAUUAUUACAGUUCACAUUUUUCUGAUCUUCCGUUCCUAAACUGUAUAUUUCUCCUGAUUUAUCAAAUCUUUCAGCAGUCUAGUCCAGUCCUUUUCUGCCCUAUAUACUCACAUAGAAAAUGAGUGUUGACAGGGGGCUUCUCGGAGAGUAUGUGCGAAUUGCUAGUGUCAUAGCAAUUUAUUGGGUUGUUUCUAUCACAACUGUGUUCGUGAAUAAAACUCUUCUGAGCAGCGAUAUUAUCAACUUGGAUGCACCAUUCUUCAUUACCUGGUUCCAAUGCGUGACCACAAGUGUGAUUUGCUACAUCAUCAUCCUUUUCUCAAGAGCCUUUCCUCAAGUUUUGAACGUACCUCAAGGAUCCCCUUGGAAAUCGUCAGUUAUUAAGAAAAUGCUUCCACUAUCUAUUUUAUUCAUGCUCAUGAUUUCGUUCAAUAAUUUGUGCUUAAAACAUGUCGGUGUUACCUUCUAUUACAUUGGUAGAUCCUUAACUACAGUAUUCAAUGUCAUUUUAACCUACUACAUAUUAGGACAAACUACUUCCUUAGCGGCUAUCUUUUGUUGUUUUAUUAUUAUUUCUGGAUUCCUCCUUGGUGUUUCUGAAGAAAGUUUUACAGAAUCAUUUUCGCUACUUGGAACGAUAUAUGGCGUGUUGGGAUCUUUGUCUCUUGCCUUAUUUACGAUUCAAACCAAAAAAGCACUACCAUUCGUAGAGAAUCACAUUUGGUUACUAUCUUACUACAAUAAUAUUUACUCGUGCUUCCUUUUCUUACCACUCUUCCUCUUCACAAACGAUUUAUCGGUUUUAAUGCACAACCCUCAUCUCGCAGACGCCCAGUUUUGGCUAUUGCUCUGCCUUGGUGGUGCAUGUGGCUUUAGCAUUGGAUACGCGACUGCUCUUCAAAUCAAGGUUACCUCUCCUCUAACCCAUAAUGUGUCUGGUACUGCAAAAGCCUGUUGUCAAACAGUUCUGGCAUCCUUUUUUGAGGAUAAGAAACCAUGGCUGUGGUGGAUAUCGAAUUGGGUGGUGCUUUUUGGGAGCGCUGCCUAUACGUCAGUCAAGCAACGAGAAAUGGAGAGGGCCAGGUUAAAACAAGGGCUCCUUACAAAUGCAUGACCUGUGAACGGUUUUAACGGAAUUCUAUUCCGUGGUUAAAGUCUGUGAUCGUCCGCUCUUGGGCUGCUUCUGGGAAAUAGCUUCAGAAGAUUCUUCACCAAUUUUGAAAUCUGAAGAUCCUGAGGAGGAAGGAGAAGAUAUUGGAACGAAUAAUGGAAACAACCCUUUUUAAUAGGAGGAAAUCGUCUUUAUAGAGUUGGUGAUUUCGCCACUGUGUAUUCUGAUCAAAUUCAUAAAACAGAAAUUCUCAUGUCUUAUCAUUUCCUCAUGAGAUGGUGGUAAGUUUGUUUGCUCAAAACCUCAGACUGGUUUCAAUGACAUUUACGAGCUUGGGAACAGAAAAUCAGGAUGCUACGAUGUGCUGAUGAUGGAACCAACCAGUUCUAAAGUACGUUCACGAUUUCCCUCCUGACUGAUCGUAAUAAGUGUUGCAACAAACAGCAUAUCUCUCUAAGGGAAAAUUCGUGACCAAAUGAGCUUUUUCCCUCUGUAAUGAGAAUAUCAUUUUUAAAUUGAAUUUCAACGCAAAAUCGCCAAUUGUCUGUCUGAGCUUUUUCAAGUUUACCAUGUACGUUAAAUGGAA